rnacentral:rRNA from 1 species
ACGAAGGGUGCAAGCGUUGUUCGGAUUUAUUGGGCGUAAAGCGCGCGCAGGCGGGUAGAUAAGUCAGGUGUGAAAUCUCGGGGCUCAACCCCGAAAUUGCGCCUGAAACUGUUUAUCUAGAAUCUUGGAGAGGGAGGGAGAAUAUCGCAUGUAGGGGUAAAAUCCGUAGAGAUGCGAUGGAAUAUCGGAGGCGAAGGCGCCCUCCUGGACAAGUAUUGACGCUGAGGUGCGAAAGCGUGGGGAGCAAACAG